AAAAAUCAUCAAUCUUGAGAAAAAAAAUGACAUUUAUAGACUUAUUAUUACUCUUUUCACUUAUUCCUUUUUUCUUAAUUUUCUUCCUCAAAUUCCAAAAAGCAAGAAAAAACCCCAUUUCAUCAAAUACAAAAAUACCAAAAUCCUAUCCUAUUAUUGGUUCUUAUUUUUCCUUAUUAGCAAAUCAAGAACAAAGAAUCCAAUGGUUAUCUGAUAUUAUCCUUAGCACCCCUAAACUUACUUUUACUCUAAUUCGACCCCUCAAUUUCCACACAAUUAUCACUGCUAAUCCAUCUAACGUUCAGCACAUUCUCAAAACCAAUUUCUCUGUUUAUCAAAAAGGCCAGAACUCAAACAACACUCUUGCUGAUUUCCUCAGUAAUGGCAUUUUCAACGUCGAUGGCGAUAUAUGGAAGUAUCAACGACAAGUUGCUAGCCACGAAUUCAAUACUAGAUCACUACGAAAAUUCGUUGAAUCUGUAGUUGAUGUCGAGGUAUCUGAACGUCUAGUUCCCAUACUCGCGAACGCUGCUGCUGAGAAAAAUGUUGUCGAUCUACAAGACGUGUUGCAAAGGUUCGCAUUUGAUAACAUUUGUAAAAUUGCAUUUGGUUAUGAUCCAAAGUAUUUGUUACCUAACUUACCUGAAGCAGAAUUCGCGGUAGCAUUUGAAGAUUGUGUUCGAUUGAGCAGUGAGAGAUUUGCUGUCCCUUUUCCGUUGAUUUGGAAAAUGAAACGCGCUUUUGGUAUUGGUUCUGAGAAGAAAUUACGAAUUGCAGUUGGAGAAGUGCGUGAGUUUGCGAAGAGAAUAGUGAGGGAGAAGUUGAAUGAGAGAUCGUCGUUGGAUUCAGCUGAUUUGUUGUCGAGAUUUUUGAGUACAGGGCACUCUGAUGAAGAUUUCGUUGUUGAUAUAGUGAUAAGUUUUAUUUUAGCAGGACGCGAUACGACUUCAGCUGCGUUGACAUGGUUUUUCUGGUUGAUUUCGAAGAAUGCAGAUGUGGAAUCUGAAAUAUUGAGAGAAAUUGGGGGAAAAGAAGAGGAUGUUUCAAUGCGAUACGACGAGGUGAAGAACAUGAUGUAUACUCACGCCUCGCUCUGUGAGAGCAUGAGAUUUUAUCCUCCGGUACCAAUGGAUUCGAAAGAAGUCAUGAAAGAUGAUGUAUUGCCCGAUGGGACAUUUGUGAAGAAGGGGAUGAGGGUUACUUAUCAUCCUUACGCAAUGGGAAGAUCGGAGGAGAUUUGGGGAAAAGACUGGGCGGAGUUCAAGCCAGAGAGAUGGUUGAAUAAGGAUGAAAUGACGGGGAAUUGGAUGUUUGUGGGAAAAGAUCCAUUCGCUUAUCCUGUUUUUCAAGCAGGACCGCGAGUUUGCUUAGGGAAAGAAAUGGCGUUUUUGCAAAUGAAGAGGGUGGUGGCUGGUGUUUUGCAGCGGUUUAAGGUGGUUCCGGUGGUGGAGAAAGGGGUGGAGCCGAUGUUUAUAUCGUAUUUGACGGCCAAGAUGAAAGGAGGUUUCCCAGUUACUAUCGAAGAAAGGAUGUAGUUGUUGGGUAUGUAGCAAGAAUUGAUGGGAAAUAGAAGGAAAGAGAGUAAUUUGAAAAGUUGAGAACUUCAAAAUCAAACUUACAGAUAUUAGAGUGGAAUAAUUUCCUUAAGAGGACACUGUGAGUUGAGUGGACUUGAUCUUCUUCCAAACUAAAAGAUUGUAUCAGUUUCUGGUACGUUUGUUUUAAAUAUUUUCUAAAAUAAAUUUCUGUUCAUCUUGCUUACUGAUUCGACAAAUUUCAAUUACUUCGUGUUUCUGAAUAAUUUAUUACAAUCAGUAAUUUUGGUUUUAAUUACACAAUUUGGUAAACAGUAGUAGUAUUAUCAUGGACACAAGUUGAAAAAACAAGUUUAUUGUAUGUGUUCUUAGGUUAUUUGCUUUUUUUAU
rnacentral:misc_RNA from 1 species